GUGCUUGCUUCAGCAGCACAUAUACUAAAAUUGAAACCAUACAGAGAUUAGCAUGGCACCUGAGCAAGGAUGACAAGAAAAUUCAUGAAGAAUUUCACUUAUCU